rnacentral:rRNA from 1 species
GAUGAACGCUGGCGGCAGGCCUAAUACAUGCAAGUCGAACGAGAUUACGAGGCUUGCUUCUUAUGAAAGUGGCGCACGGGUGCGUAACGCGUAUGCAACCUACCUUAAUCAGUGGGAUAGCCCGAAGAAAUUCGGAUUAAGACCGCAUAAAAACACAGGAUAGCAUUAUCCAAUGUUCAAAUAUUUAUAGGAUUAAGAUGAGCAUGCGUGUCAUUAGAUAGUUGGCGGGGUAACGGCCCACGAAGUCGACGAUGACAAGAGGAUCGGAGAGGAUGACCCCCCACACAAGUAUUGGGACACGGACCAGGCAAAUACGGGAGGGAGCAGUAAGGAAGAUUGUGCAAUGGAGGGAACUCUGACCCAGCCAUGCCGCGUGCAGUAAGACAGCCCUCUGGGUCGUAUACUGCUUUUAGUCGGGAAUAAUCCUUUCGCCGUGUAUGAAGCUGAAUGUACCGAAGGAAUAAGGAUCGGCUAACUCCGUG